rnacentral:sRNA from 1 species
UGUGUUCGCCCAUGGCGGGCGUUUCCUCCCUUUGACUGAGGCCCUGUCCGAGCGCGGACGGGGCCUUUUUUCGCGUCGG